rnacentral:lncRNA from 1 species
UUAGAAUGAAUAAUGAGAAGAGAACCUGAGGUGUGGGAAGAAAAGAAGUUAACCAGCAUAAUCAGCCUUCUACAUUCAUGGUUUUGUAUCUUUAGAUUCAACCAACCACAGAUCCAAAUGGAGUUACACCUGUGAUAAUUGCACCUGUGCUGAAGAUAGGUGUUCUUAUCAAGGGGCUGAUACCCCAGAAGAGGAAUCAGAUCACAAAGUCUAUGACUAGAAUAGAUCCACCCUCAACCCAGAGCAGGUGGCUUACCACUAGGCUACUCUCCAAGAACUCCUGCCAAGCACAGGACAGACGUGGAAAGACUUCUGGCUUGUGAACAAACAAAGGAAAAAGCCCCAGUGGAAAUCCCAUGACGCUGAGAGAAGACAACCUUGAAGAUAAAUGUUUGUCAUUGCUAUUGCUGCUCAUCCACUCUUCCACCACUCCGUUCUGUCACCCUAGCUGUCCUGUUACAUCCUCUCCACCAAAGAUACUAUCCACGAUCCU